CCUACGGGCGGCAGCAGUGGGGGAUAUUGCACAAUGGGGGAAACCCUGAUGCAGCGACGCCGCGUGUGGGAAGACGGUCCUCUGGUUUUUAAACCACUGUCUCCAGGGACGAAGAUGACGGUACUAGGGGAUGAAGCUUCGGCUAACUACGAGCCAGCAGCCGCGGUAAUAUGGAGGGAGCGAGCGUUGUGCGGACUUACUGGGUGUAGGUGGAGCGUAGGUGUGACUGCGAGUUGGGUGAAAUCCCCGCGCUCAACGGGGGAAGUGCCUUUGAAACUGGCAAACUGGAGUGUAUGAGAGGAUAGUGGAAUUCCAGGUGUAGGGGUGAAAUGCGUAGAUAUAUGGAAGAACAUCAGUGGCGAAGGCGACUAUCUGGCACGUAACUGACGCUGAGGAGCGAAAGCGUGGGUAGCAAACAGGAUUAGAUACCCUUGUAGUC
rnacentral:rRNA from 1 species